rnacentral:rRNA from 1 species
UGCAGUCGAGGGGCAGCAUGAACUAGCAAUAGUUUGAUGGCGACCGGCAAACGGGUGCGGAACACGUACACAACCUUCCUUUAAGUGGGGAAUAGCCCAGAGAAAUUUGGAUUAAUACCCCGUAACACAACGAAGUGGCAUCACUUUGUUGUUAUAGUUUCGGCGCUUAAUGAUGGGUGUGCGUAUGAUUAGAUAGUUGGCGAGGUAACGGCUCACCAAGUCUACGAUCAUUAGCUGAUGUGAGAGCAUGAUCAGCCACACGGGCACUGAGACACGGGCCCGACUCCUACGGGAGGCAGCAGUAAGGAAUAUUGGUCAAUGGACGCAAGUCUGAACCAGCCAUGCCGCGUGAAGGAUUAAGGUCCUCUGGAUUGUAAACUUCUUUUAUAUGGGACGAAAAAAGGUCUUUCUAGACCCCUUGACGGUACCAUAUGAAUAAGCACCGGCUAACUCCGUGCCAGCAGCCGCGGUAAUACGGAGGGUGCAAGCGUUAUCCGGAUUCACUGGGUUUAAAGGGUGCGUAGGCGGGUAGGUAAGUCAGUGGUGAAAUCCUGGAGCUCAACUCUAGAACUGCCAUUGAUACUAUCUAUCUUGAAUAUUGUGGAGGUAAGCGGAAUAUGUCAUGUAGCGGUGAAAUGCUUAGAUAUGACAUAGAACACCCAUUGCGAAGGCAGCUUACUACGCAUAUAUUGACGCUGAG